CUCCAUCCAUAUGGCUCAAGCACGAGCGCCACACCAUCAUAGACUGCCACGCAAACCGAGAGGGCAGAGUCUGUUGCCAUGGCCACAUGAACAAAGAGAGAGAGAGAAAGGAACAUAGAGAGAGCAGAGAGUACAUCAGGGCAUGGAGAACAUGUAUACGGUGUCGAGGGUGCCAGGGUCGACCGGGACGCCAGUGAAUUCCUCGUCGGAUUUCAACAGUCGUCACCAAGCCGCCUCGCACGUGGUCACGAGUCUUCGUGUAGUAAUCUCCGGUCAAGGACAUGUACUACAAGAUGAGGAGCAUGAAGGAUGUCAUGGCUACUUAAAUCGGAUGCCGGCAUUUCCUCGUUGCAUUGCCAUGCAGUACUGAUGCGUCUCUAUCUAGCCUUUCUAAUGGGUGAGAGCAAAUACCAUGGUUUAUAUAUCAUCACUCUCCCUUCAUACACAGUCCAUAGUCCUGCCUUUAUAUAUCAACUACGUUGGACAGUUGAGCUAACGCUAGUUUCCUUAGCCAGGUUUCACAUAUAGUGUUAGUUCUGAUGUUUGUUUUUCGUUCUGCAGCAUUGCUCAUACUUUUCGUACCUUUUUUCGUUGAUGUGUAAUGGAUGUUUUCCAUUAAUAAAUGGAAAAAGGGGUCAACCUGGUUAAAAAAUAUUAUUUAUAUUAUAUAAACGAUCAUUUGUUGUCUACAAGCAC
rnacentral:lncRNA from 7 species